UACGGAGGAUCCAAGCGUUAUCCGGAUUCAUUGGGUUUAAAGGGUGCGUAGGCGGGAUAGUAAGUCAGUGGUGAAAGCCUGUUGCUUAACAACAGAACUGCCAUUGAUACUGCUAACCUUGAGUAUACUUGAAGUGGGCGGAAUGUGUCAUGUAGCGGUGAAAUGCAUAGAUAUGACACAGAACACCGAUUGCGAAGGCAGCUCACUAAAUUAUAACUGACGCUGAGGCACGAAAGCGUGGGGAUCAAACAGG
rnacentral:rRNA from 1 species